UGCCCAGGCUGCGUCCUGAUACCGAGUGGACUCCGCCCCAUGAGUGCGAGCAUCCUGAAGGUUCAGGAUACCCUGGGCCGCGGAAGGCAUCUGGCCACACCCUGCUCCGCGCCGGUCCCUCUCCCGCCAAUGCAAGCCCAGGUGGUUAGGCUCAGAAUGGACUGUGAGCUUUCAAAAAGGAAAAAAAGUGGAAGCCACCAAGUAUGCUGCCAGCUGAAUGAACUGAUGCUCUAUAGCUUGCACAAAGUCGAGCAAAUUAUCUUCUCAUGUUGCUCUCAUGUUAUAUAAUAUAUCGACGACCUGCUUACCUUACUCCUUUAACCUAGGUUAUCCUUGGAAGUAGCACUUGGAACAAGACGUAGAUACCUUCUACUGGAGAAUGAGACCUUAGGAGCAGGAAAGAAAGACAGAGGGGUUGAGUCUGAACACAUGAAAGAGAAUCUAAGGAAACUGGGGAAGCAUUGCCAAGAGCUCACUAGCUAUGUUGGACCAAAGCAUCCCAUGCGUCUUAAUAAAUUUUGACUGACAGA